UGGCUCAGUUGGUAGAGCAUUGUGUUUGCAACGCCAGGGUUGUGGGUUCAAUUCCCAC
rnacentral:tRNA from 1 species